rnacentral:rRNA from 1 species
GCGUUGUUCGGAAUUACUGGGCGUAAAGCGCACGUAGGCGGAUAUUUAAGUCAGGGGUGAAAUCCCGGGGCUCAACCCCGGAACUGCCUUUGAUACUGGGUAUCUUGAGUAUGAAAGAGGUAAGUGGAAUUGCGAGUGUAGAGGUGAAAUGCGUAGAUAUUCGCAAGAACACCAGUGGCGAAGGCGGCUUCCUGGUCCAUUACUGACGCUGAGGUGCGAAAGCGUG